rnacentral:rRNA from 1 species
CUGGCCUUGACAUCCAGAGAACUUUCCAGAGAUCUAUUGGUGCCUUCGGGAACUCUGAGACAGGUGCUGCAUGGCCGUCGUCAGCUCGUGUCGUGAGAUGUUGGGUUAAGUCCCGUAACGAGCGCAACCCCUAUCCCUGGUUGCUAGCAGGUAAUGCUGAGAACUCCAGGGAGACUGCCGGUGACAAACCGGAGGAAGGUGGGGAUGACGUCAGGUCAUCAUGGCCCUUACGGCCAGGGCUACACACGUGCUACAAUGGCGCGUACAGAGGGCUGCCAACUCGCGAGAGUGAGCCAAUCCCUUAAAACGCGUCGUAGUCCGGAUCGGAGUCUGCAACUCGACUCCGUGAAGUCGGAAUCGCUAGUAAUCGCGAAUCAGAAUGUCGCGGUGAAUACGUUCCC